rnacentral:ncRNA from 1 species
GGACCAGGGGAAUCCGACUGUUUAAUUAAAACAAAGCAUUGCAAGGGCCCGCGGUGGGUGUUGACGCCAUGUGAUUUCUGCCCAGUGCUCUGAAUAUCAAAGUGAAGAAAUUCAAUGAAGCGCGGGUAAAUGGCGGGAGUAACUAUGACUCUCUCUCUUUGGGGUGUGACGAGGGGCGGACCAGGCAGCACGGUCUGACUGCCCAAGCAAGUUCGGCGCCUCCCAGUGGCGUAACCCCGGGUCCCCUUCCCUACGGCAAAAGACCGAACCUCUGCGAACCGCAAGGGGAGGUGGGCCAGCAACCCCCCUCCUCUUACCCAACCCGCUACGAAACAAAACAAGAAGACGACACGGGCCUGUGGAGUGAGUUUAGAUGACGUGGAGGACAGGCCACAUCAGUGCGGAGUGUGGACCGACGAAGAGGUGGAACUUGUGGCCAGAGCCGAAGUAGCCAAAGAGGGGGCCCGGUUCAUAAACCAAGCAGUGCUGGCGCACGUCCGGAUCGGAACAUUGAGUAGAUCCGCUACAUACGGAAGACGGACCGGUACAGGAAGACACUUCAAAGACUGCAAGAAGAUCAAGACUUCCUCAAGGGUCAGGCCGGCAGUCCGGACCCACCUGUGAAUGAAGGCGAUGCGACCCCCGGAGGAAGCGCGUCAGAACCCCCAGAGGCUGAGCCGGACAAUGCCUGCAGAGCAGCAAUCAGCCUCUGGGCAGGGGAGCAGGCCACCUCCCCGGGCCCACAAUAUGCCGUGCUCUUGAAGCGGCUGGCCAAUCGCGGCGAAGAACGCAUAGCCGCCGAGCUACACUGCAUCCUGAAGCAUCCCCACGCAGCCGUCCCCGCUGCUAUUCAAUCUAAUUGUGCGUAAAGCCCUGGUACGGGCCGAGGGCACAGGUGUGGGCUUCAGAAUGUGCUCAGGGUACCUCCUGCAGACACUGCCCUUCGCAGACAACCUGGUCCUGUUUGCCUCCAGCAAAAGGGGCCUGCAAACCUCUACGGACGAAGUCCUAGCCUGGCUGGCCAAAGCCGGCCUGAAAGCCAACCCCCGGGAAGUGCGCGACAUUGGCCAUGAUAGUGGAUGGGAGGAAUAAGAGGACAUUGGUCGACAAGAGACCAUGCCUGCAAAUCGACGGCAAGGACGUCCCUGGUAUGCAGCCAAGCCAACAAUGCAAAUACCUGGGCGUCAAGGUCAGCGCAGCAGGAAAGGUGCAGACGGCGGAGGCUCGCAUACGUGUCAUGCUGGAAAACCUCCGGAGAGCCCCACUUAAGCCGCAGCAGCGCAUUCACAUCCUUUAAUACCACAUGAUCCCGGUAGACCACCAGCUGGUGCUGCAGAGAGUGACGGCCAAACUACUUCUCGGACUGGACUGCAUUGUGCGCGGGGAGCUACGGGGAGCGCUGAGGCUCCCCAAGGACACGCCCCUUGCGUACAUAUAUGCCCACCCCGCUGAUGGCGGUCUAGCCAUCCCCUGCCUACGCACGUUAAUCCCGAGGCUCAGAGCGGCCCGAAUGGGCAAAUUAGCAGAGUCUCUGGACGAAGACAUAUAGGCGCUGUCGGGCCACCCGGACUUCCAAUUCCUGGCACGGAGCAACCUCUUAAGAUACUAGCACACGCUGAUCAAGACUAAGGCGGAUGAGAGACUGUUCUGGAAGGGCAGACUUUUGGCCAGCCAUGAUGGAGCGGGCCUGAGGACACGGCGAGGUGCCUGGUGCCAACCAAUAGGUCACAGAUGGGACCAGACUGAUGACCGGAGCCAGUUUCAUAAAGGCCCUGAAGAUCCGGGGAAACCUCUGGCACACCGGUGCUGGAGGAUCCCGAGGAAGACCACAAGAAAGCCCCAUGUGUGAUGCCGGAUGCAAUGCCGGCGAGACGCUGGGCCACCAAGUGCAAAGCUGCACGAGGUCCCACGACGAGCGGGUGAAAAGACACGACUUGGUAUCCAACACGGACAAAGGAGUUAUCGUCCUCGACACCACCAUCGUGGCGGACGCAUGUAUAACUACCAUGGCGGCCGCUUACCAGCAGAAGAUUGAUUACUAUGACGAGGAAGACAUCAGGGCCUGGGUAGGAGGUCGUUGGAGCACUAACCCCUCUCACGUACGAUUUGGAGCGGUGGUCCUGACGUGGCGGGGCGCCCUGCAUAAGAAAUCGGACCAGCUACUGACUGAGAUGGGCAUAACUAGGGCCGUGAGUAAGCUCCUGGUAGUUAAAACGCUAGAGGGAUCGGUGAGAUGCGCCGAAGCCUACGCCAGACGGACUUCCCGCCGGAAAGGCCCCACCCACUGUAAUGUCCCCCAGUUCAGCCGGGCCUGAUAAACCCAGUGGACUACAUUCCCCACUUGAAGAAUGACGGGUGAGAUGAUGUCAAACCCCGAUCGAAAAAAGCCUGUCCCCAUGCGCGUCGCUUAAAAGGUCAACCUCCCUCAAAGAGGAAAAACAGGGCUACAAUGAUGACAGCUGUACAUCGAUAUCUGAGUAACCACAGAAAAUAGCCAAAUGCCUCGUCAUUUAAUUAGUGACCCGCAUGAAUGGAUGACCCAGGACCU